CCCCAGAAAGCUUGGAUCUGAGCGCUCAAUAUGUCCAAUGUUAAAAGUGGCUAAAGUACAAGGAAGGGUGGGGUCAGAAAAUAGCAAGGGCUGAUGGGAGAUUGAGGAGGGACAAAGCAGCCAGUUUAAACUGGUCUGACAGUGUCCCUGGGACAAUGCCCUGCCUGAGAAACAAUAGGACAGGAAAAAGGAUAAGUUGAAGAGG